UUGUCUCAAAGAUUAAGCCAUGCAUGUCUCAGUACAAGCCACAUUAAGGUGAAACCGCGAAAGGCUCAUUAAAUCAGUUAUGGUUCCUUAGAUCGUACCCACAUUUACUUGGAUAACUGUGGUAAUUCUAGAGCUAAUACAUGCAAACAGAGCUCCGACCGGAGACGGAAGGAGCGCUUUUAUUAGAUCAAAACCAAUCGGUGGCGGGUCUCACGGCUCGUCAUCGUACAACUUGAUGACUCUGAAUAACUUUACGCUGAUCGCACGGUCUCGCACCGGCGACGCAUCUUUCAAAUGUCUGCCUUAUCAACUGUCGAUGGUAGGUUCUGCGCCUACCAUGGUUGUAACGGGUAACGGGGAAUCAGGGUUCGAUUCCGGAGAGGGAGCCUGAGAAACGGCUACCACAUCCAAGGAAGGCAGCAGGCGCGCAAAUUACCCACUCCCGGCACGGGGAGGUAGUGACGAAAAAUAACGAUACGGGACUCAUCCGAGGCCCCGUAAUCGGAAUGAGUACACUCUAAACCCUUUAACGAGGAUCAAUUGGAGGGCAAGUCUGGUGCCAGCAGCCGCGGUAAUUCCAGCUCCAAUAGCGUAUAUUAAAGUUGUUGCGGUUAAAAAGCUCGUAGUCGAAUUUGUGUUCCGCGCCGCCGGUUCAUCGUCCGCGGUGUUAACUGGCGUGCCGCGGAAUGUCCUGCCGGUGGGCUUAGCGCGCGAGCGCGGCCCAACUCAAUCCUGCCGCGGUGCUCUUCACUGAGUGUCGAGGUGGGCCGGCACGUUUACUUUGAACAAAUUAGAGUGCUUAAAGCAGGCUAAAACUUUGCUUGAAUACUGUGUGCAUGGAAUAAUGGAAUAGGACCUCGGUUCUAUUUUGUUGGUUUUCGGAACCCCGAGGUAAUGAUUAAUAGGAACGGAUGGGGGCAUUCGUAUUGCGACGUUAGAGGUGAAAUUCUUGGACCGUCGCAAGACGGACAGAAGCGAAAGCAUUUGCCAAAAACGCUUUCAUUGAUCAAGAACGAAAGUUAGAGGUUCGAAGGCGAUCAGAUACCGCCCUAGUUCUAACCAUAAACGAUGCCAGCUAGCGAUCCGCCGACGUUCCUCCGAUGACUCGGCGGGCAGCUUCCGGGAAACCAAAGCUUUUGGGUUCCGGGGGAAGUAUGGUUGCAAAGCUGAAACUUAAAGGAAUUGACGGAAGGGCACCACCAGGAGUGGAGCCUGCGGCUUAAUUUGACUCAACACGGGAAACCUCACCAGGCCCGGACACCGGAAGGAUUGACAGAUUGAGAGCUCUUUCUUGAUUCGGUGGGUGGUGGUGCAUGGCC
rnacentral:rRNA from 1 species